UAAAGUAUUAUAUUAUAUUAAUAGUUAUAUAGUUAAUCAAUAAUAACUUAGAGGCGUCUAGGGUUUGCCUUUCAUCUUUCGUUUUCGUCUUUGGCUUCGUUGCUUCGCAGGAGGCGUAGAGAUUGCACGCGUCGCUUCUUGGGGUCCUUCGUAAGUUACGACAUUUUGUUGGGAAGCAACGGGAGCUCGCUGGCUGUGAAGGCUAUAUUUGUAGAGCACUAGAGUUACACGUGACAUCUUGAAGUAGAAAGAGGUUUGGUUAGGAUAUCCACAGUUUGAUCAGUCGCGUUGAUUGGAAGAAUAGUAACUUUGCCAGAUUGAAUAUGAUCUCGUAUAAAAUGACAGUCUACUUCAAUGUUCUUGAUACGAGCAUUAAAUACUAGAUUGUGGGUGAGUGCAAUGGCCGAUGUGUUGUCAUAAUGGAUGACGACGGUCGACUUGAUAGAAGAGAUGUGAAAAUCUUAGAUAAGCCUUAGAAGUAAAAUUACGUCUGUUGUCGUUGUUGCCAAUGAUCUGUAUUCAACCUCUGUGGAGGAGCCUACAACAGUUUGUUACUUCUUUACUAUCCAAGAGAUUAGGGUGUUGCCGAGAUACGUACAAUAUCCAGAGGUGGAGUAGCGGGUAACAAGAUCUGUGGUCCAAUUGGCAUCGGCAAAAGUAAUGAGUUGGAGAUUGGAUUUGAAGAUGGGAAGACCAAAGUCUUUAGUUCCUUGGAGAUAUCUGAGUUGUGUUUGAGUUGGAUGAAAUUUGCAAAUCCUUUAGUAGGUUGAAAAUCUCUCAAAUGGUUGUAGCUCGCAUAUAUUGCAGUGCAGUUUAUCAAAGUUGGAGGGCACACAAUGAAAUGAAGUAUCAUAGAUCAUAUGCUACUACUAUCAUGGCAGCCACCGUGCCUGAAUCAAUCCCCAACUCAUUUGUCUUACUCUUUCAAGGGCACUAGAAUUACUAAUAGUGAAACCAGCUGACUUCCAAUUCUAUGUUGUAUCCUCCCCCGUUUGGUUGGCUAGAGGCCAAUAACCAAUUUUUUUCUUUUCAUAUAUCUUAAGAAGAAAUUCUUGCCAAGUUUAUUUAAUAAAUCGUUAUUACUCUUGUCAUCCAAAUAAUAAUAAUAAUAAUAACAAUAUUGAUAAA